rnacentral:lncRNA from 1 species
UAUAGUUUCAAUUCGUAGAUUCAAGGGUUAACUGUAAAGAUUCAGACAUGCACUCAAACUAUUCUCUUACGUAAUGUUCAUUUUGAAAAAGUCUGUGCUCAUUUUACUUUUCACCGGUUUCUUUUUCGUUUCUCAAAACUCGAACUCGAAACAUCUGUAUAAUGAAAGACUUACGCUAAAGGCUCAAUGAGCUGGCAGUUGAGGUUACGAGUUUGAGGGAAUGGCUGAGUGGGGCAGAGGAGGCACAUUUUCACGAAACAAUUGAGUAGCGGUCUCAAUUUGUAAUGGAGAAACUUCGCAUAUAGUGAAGUUUUAAAAGGAUGAUUAAGCUGUAUCCCCAAGUGGAUUUGGCUUCUGUGAAAGAGGAGUUCCUCCCAACGGAGCCAUCCAUUCAUGUAGAUGAUGCUGAAAGUUCUCAUGGUGGAGAGAGCCAAACGAAGCCUUAGCAGGAUGAAGCUACUGCAUAGACAUAGGCCUUUAAUUUCUAUCUAGUUCAUUAUGUAGUUCUCCUUUGUAAUCAAUUCGCUUCAUAUAUAUAAAGAAUCUUUAUCAUCUGGCUAUUUGAUUUUUCUUUCU